AAGGAUCAUUAUUGAAUAUAAACUUGGGUAGACUGUUGCUGGCUCCUCUUGGAGCAUGUGCACGUUUAUCCUCUUUAUUCUUCCACCUGUGCACCUUUUGUAGGCUUGGAUUUAUAACACCAUUUUGACUAUGUCUCUAGGGCAUAAGAAUCGUUUUGGGACUGCUGUGUUUAAACACAUGUUUAUCAGCUUUUCCUUUUGUUUUUCCAAGUCUAUGUUUUUUCAUACACAUGUCAAAGAUGUUAUAGGAUGCUGUACUUUAGGUCAUUUGUAACCUAUAAUAAAUCAGUACAACUUUCAGCAACGGAUCUCUUGGCUCUC
rnacentral:misc_RNA from 1 species